GGGAUCCAGUCUCUGCUGGGGGCCCUCAGGGCAGAUGGUGCGGAUGGCAUCUGGCAACCUAUGUGGUGGUGUCUUUUCCUAAACCACAGGUGCCGCUUCCUUCCCUUUACAGGUCAAUUCUCUGAUAAAAUCAGAAAGCUGAUGGCCAGGCAUGGUGGUGUGUGACUGUGGUCCCAGCUACUCACAAGGCUGAGAUGGGAGGAUCGAUUAAGCCCAGGAGGUGGAGGCUGCGGGAAGCCAUGACUGAGACACUGCACUGCAGCCUGGGCAACAGAGCGAGACCCUGUCUCUAAAAAACAAAUAACAAAACCAAAACAAAAGCAAGCAAGCAGAAACUGACGACUACUCAAACACCUGGGAAAAUAAAACGUCGGAUUCGAAGCGCCUUUCUCCCAAACCGGCUCUGAGAUGUGCUGGCCUCUCCUCUCCAAGACUUGGGGAUGAGGGCUGCAAGUAGUCUGGGACCACCUUCAGGUCACACUCCCCCACAUUUUAAAAGAAACGAAAACAUUUUCAUGGGUCCCCAAAGCAUCCUGGACGCUGCUGAUGCCCUGUGCCCAGUGGGGAGUCGAGUCUGGCUUUAUCGAUGUGUAGCCGACAUGCAGGAGCUGCUCAGGACUGAGCAGUGCGCACUUUGCAGGAGCUCAGCGAUGCCUGCCCGUCUCCUCCCAUCCAGCAGAAGUUCAGCGAUUGAAAACUCCGACGGCAUCUCUUAGGGAGAGGAGGGGCGGGGGUGGGAGGCUGCUGUCUGAAAUGGGAUGUCAGGAGGCCUGGGACUCUGCAGGCCCUGAUAAGUGGGAUUUAUCCUCGGGAAUGUAAUGAGAGCUGACACCUAUUUCUGACGCGACUGUAUCAUAGAUUGCCGGGGCAGGAUAGCGUCGCAUUCCGAGCAGGCAGAGAUGUAUUUGCUGAAGGUGAAAAUGUCAUUUAAACUGUUGAUACCUUUCAAAUUGUCUUGGCAGGAUGCCACAAGUAGCCCAGGCCUUUUCCAAAUAAAUAUAUACAA
rnacentral:lncRNA from 10 species